GUUGGAGCCAGGCCGGUCUUCUGAGAGACCAGCCUGCAUCAGGCCAGGCCGGGAUGGCCAGAGAAGAAGCUAUGGUGUUUGCUAUGUGUGGUUUCACAUGUCUCACUGCGCUGGCAUGGCCAACAGGCCUCACGGCAGAUGGGUUGGUUCUACUGAAGCCUACGAGACUUCGAAGAGGUCAAUCAGCAGCUCAACUCAUCGACCCUAAACACAGCCUUGGCCUUUGAGCCGUACCGCACCUUGGCAACCAGCGCCGCUGCUGAGCGGCAGCAGCACAACAUCUUGUUCUCGCCAUUGGGCUUAGCGUCAGCUCUGGCGCUGCUGUCCCGGGUUUGUGGUUCCGAGAGUCGGAACCAGACCCUGGAGGCCCUGGGGCUGGCGGCCAAUACUACAGAGGAGAGUGUGGAGGCCACCUUAUCUGCUCUUGCAGAUAUGCAACUCAGCCUGUCUCUACGCGGGGGGGGUGUAGGGUCCAAAGGGUAGAAUCUGGAACUGGAACAGGAGCUGGCAUUGGGGCACCAGCAAGGGUGGAAUUUGUAGGGGAUGAUGCUGCAAACCAAACUGAUGUAGAUGAUUGGGCGGAGGGUAAGGAUGGAACUCGGGGUGGUGUUCAUGCUGGCAGUCAGCUGGAGUUUUGAGCAGCCUACAUGUGGAUGGAAGACCAUCCCUAGACUAUGACAGUUUCAUGCUCAGGCCUUGGCACAACAGCUUUGACUCGUUGAUGACUUGGAAGCCUCUGACAAACUUGAACUUACCAAUUAUGUGUAUUUCAAAAGGUAGCUUCUUCAUAGUUAAUGGCUGAUGUUAUUUUCAGCUUUUGUAUAUGCAUAAUGUAUAUUAAUGGUGUGAACAAUCAGACCGAUUUGUAAAGACCUUCAAAAACAUGUUAAUAAGCUUGAAAUCAGAAUGAACCGCUGCUAAAUUUGUAAAAGUAAAAUCAGAACACUUUCAAAAUGUGCUCUCUGUGUCAAGACAAUUGCAGCCACUACAGAGCAUCAGUCAUUGUUGUCUACGUGGAGCAGAUGCUCUCAGCCAGUCAACAGUGGUGCUUUAUACAGGCAUGCAACUUUUCCCUCUUACAAUUUGUUUUUCCUAUUUCAUAACGUUCUCUUUGUCACUGCUGCGUGAAUCAGGCCGUCAACCAUUUGAGCGGCGCCACACGGUGCCAAGGAGCUUCCAGCCCAACGCCACCACCACCAGCGUGGAGGUGGCCAUGAUGUUCUAAGGUGAUGAUGCUGUACGACACGGUGGUGCGUCUGGCCCACUCCGAGCGAACUGGCCUCGCCGCUCCUGCUCCCUACAGCUGAGCCGCAGCCCCUGGAGCCUCUCCGACGGACGCAUGGCGCCGCAACCUGAAGCAGUGCAGCGACGAGGAGACUGCAACCUUCCUCAAAUGCGUUCAUGAAACAAACGCAACGUUUCCCACAUCAUUUUCAUCCAUUCAAGGCGGGCAGAAAUCCGUUUCCCUAAGUUCCAACUAAGGAAAUCCUACAGUUUAGACAGGAGGCCUCCUGAGGAACUCUGGGGUGUCAUCGGUUUUCUCGCACUCAGCCGACUUAUCUGGAAUAUCGCAGGAGACUCUGAAACUCGCCAAGGCUCCUCGUGAGGUCAUGCCCGAGGUGGAGGAGAUCCAGUAUGAAGAUGGGGGAGACCUGACAGUUCACCGGACUUCUCUGUUCCCUCGAGGAUCACCUUUAACAGGCCGUUCAUGCUCAUAACCUACGGCCAUCUCACGGGGAGAAUUAUUGAUCCUACAAAUGUCUACAGCGGGGUGAACAGCGUAGCUUUAUUGGGCUUUGCUAUUGAUAUAACACUGCGUUCACUUAUAUUACUCGAUUUGUUUUUCCCCCCCAACAGAAUGGUGUAUCAUUCUGGGGAAAAACAUUUUCCUGCAAUUAUAUCAGCAUGCAGAGUGCUUUGUUUUACCUUCAAUUUUCCAAACCAUUACAGCCUGAUUUACAGUUUCUUUCCCCCCUAUUUGCACAAAAUUAUGAAAAGAAAUUCAAAUUGAAGUAAUUUAUCUGUAUGACUGAAUCGCUUUCUACUCUUGCAAAAGCAUAAAACCCUUUUCUUCCAUUACAAAA